AGUGAACGCUGGCGGUAGGCCUAACACAUGCAAGUCGAACGGCAGCACAGUAAGAGCUUGCUCUUACGGGUGGCGAGUGGCGGACGGGUGAGGAAUACAUCGGAAUCUACUUUUUCGUGGGGGAUAACGUAGGGAAACUUACGCUAAUACCGCAUACGACCUACGGGUGAAAGCAGGGGAUCUUCUGACCUUGCGCGAUUGAAUGAGCCGAUGUCGGAUUAGCUAGUUGGCGGGGUAAAGGCCCACCAAGGCGACGAUCCGUAGCUGGUCUGAGAGGAUGAUCAGCCACACUGGAACUGAGACACGGUCCAGACUACUACGGGAGGCAGCAGUGGGGAAUAUUGGACAAUGGGCGCAAGCCUGAUCCAGCCAUACCGCGUGGGUGAAGAAGGCCUUCGGGUUGUAAAGCCCUUUUGUUGGGAAAGAAAAGCAGCAGGUUAAUACCCCGCUGUUCUGACGGUACCCAAAGAAUAAGCACCGGCUAACUUCGUG
rnacentral:rRNA from 1 species